rnacentral:rRNA from 1 species
CUUGCUAAGACUGAUGGCGACCGGCGCACGGGUGAGUAACACGUAUCCAACCUGCCGUCUACUCUUGGACAGCCUUCUGAAAGGAAGAUUAAUACAAGAUGGCAUCAUGAGUCCGCAUGUUCACAUGAUUAAAGGUAUUCCGGUAGACGAUGGGGAUGCGUUCCAUUAGAUAGUAGGCGGGGUAACGGCCCACCUAGUCUUCGAUGGAUAGGGGUUCUGAGAGGAUGAACGGCCACAUUGGGACUGAGACACGGCCCAAACUCC